GACGAACGCUGGCGGCGUGCUUAACACAUGCAAGUCGAACGGAAAGGCCCUGCUUUUGUGGGGUGCUCGAGUGGCGAACGGGUGAGUAACACGUGAGUAACCUGCCCUUGACUUUGGGAUAACUUCAGGAAACUGGGGCUAAUACCGGAUAGGAGCUCCUGCUGCAUGGUGGGGGUUGGAAAGUUUCGGCGGUUGGGGAUGGACUCGCGGCUUAUCAGCUUGUUGGUGGGGUAGUGGCUUACCAAGGCUUUGACGGGUAGCCGGCCUGUGAGGGUGACCGGCCACAAUGGGACUGAGAUACGGACCAGAGUCCUACGGGAGGCAGCAGUGGGGAAUAUUGCACAAUGGGCGGGAGCCUGAUGCAGAAACGCCGCGUGCGGGAUGACGGCCUUCGGGUUGUAAACCGCUUUAGCCUGUGACGAAGCGUGAGUGACGGUAAUGGGUAAAGAAGCACCGGCUAACUACGUG
rnacentral:rRNA from 1 species